rnacentral:rRNA from 1 species
UACAGGGGGUGCAAACGUUGCUCGGAAUUACUGGGCGUAAAGCGCGCGUAGGCGGCUUUUCAAGUCGAUUGUGAAAUCCCCGGGCUUAACCUGGGAACUGCAGUCGAGACUGUCUAGCUAGAGUAUGGGAGAGGGAAGUGGAAUUUCAGGUGUAGCGGUGAAAUGCGUAGAUAUCUGAAGGAACAUCAGUGGCGAAAGCGACUUCCUGGACCAAUACUGACGCUCAUGUGCGAAAGCGUGGGGAGCAAACAGG